rnacentral:rRNA from 1 species
AGUGAACGCUGGCGGUAGACCUAACACAUGCAAGUCGAACGGCAGCACAGUGAGAGCUUGCUCUUACGGGUGGCGAGUGGCGGACGGGUGAGGAAUACAUCGGAAUCUACUUUUUCGUGGGGGAUAACGUAGGGAAACUUACGCUAAUACCGCAUACGACCUACGGGUGAAAGCAGGGGAUCUUCGGACCUUGCGCGAUUGAAUGAGCCGAUGUCGGAUUAGCUAGUUGGCGGGGUAAAGGCCCACCAAGGCGACGAUCCGUAGCUGGUCUGAGAGGAUGAUCAGCCACACUGGAACUGAGACACGGUCCAGACUCCUACGGGAGGCAGCAGUGGGGAAUAUUGGACAAUGGGCGCAAGCCUGAUCCAGCCAUACCGCGUGGGUGAAGAAGACCUUCGGGUUGUAAAGCCCUUUUGUUGGGAAAGAAAAGCAGCAGGUUAAUACCCCGCUGUUCUGACGGUACCCAAAGAAUAAGCACCGGCUAACUUCGUG